CUCUCCCUUUUAAAUAGUAUUUUCUUGGAUUUUCCUUCUGUUCUUGUUUUAUUUGUCUAAUUAGUUAUUUUUUGCUUUAUGACCACCUGUUUCUUAUUUUUUGGGUGAAGACUUGAUUAAAUCUUCAACAAUUUCUUGAGUAAGUAAAGAUGGUGCUUGAACUUGUACUAAAAAUCAUAUCUGAUGCCACUGUUGAUGCUCUAUUGUGACUGAACUAUUACAAGCUGUUUGACAGGAGACGGAAAUCACAAGAUAUUGCAUGGAACCAAUGCAAACCAUUCAACAAUUUAGUCAUCUUGCUGGUUAGUAUGGACCCUUGUUGAAGAUCUAUGCUGGAACCAGAACACCUGCAGACGCAGAAAGUACGAGUUCAGGACUGUUGAAACUGCUGGAGUAUUUUCAGGAAGUUCAGAUGUGUUCUUACCAUCAAGAAGGCGAAAUUUCGACAGAUUUUAUACUCUUAUCAGUGGACUGUUACGAGGCCUUUUGCAGCUAGCUGUCCUAUCUACUGUAGUCCUCUGUGUUUUGCUCUGGAAAUGCUAGAUAGUUAUAGGGAUGUGAUUAGUACUAGGACCAAAAGGGUACUCCUGGCUUGUUGCGAUUAUGUAAACUCUUACGACUGUUUCUGUACGAUGGUUGCUAAAUUUGCUUUUUGCUUCCUAAAGAAUCUUACAACAUACCACAUUGUCAAGCUCUACGCAUGGAUGAUUCAUUCUAGAACUCAACCCUUUGGCAGCAACCUUAGGAUAUCAGUUGAUAUUGUAUUAGGUUAUAUUGGAUCAAUUCAAACUCAUGACCUAAA